UACGUAGGGCGCGAGCGUUGUCCGGAUUUAUUGGGCGUAAAGAGCUCGUAGGCGGCUUGUCGCGUCGAAUGUGAAAACUCGGGGCUCAACUCCGAGCUUGCAUUCGAUACGGGCAGGCUAGAGUUCGGUAGGGGGAGACUGGAAUUCCUGGUGUAGCGGUGAAAUGCGCAGAUAUCAGGAGGAACACCGGUGGCGAAGGCGGGGUCUCUGGGGCCGAUACUGACGCUGAGGAGCGAAAGCGUGGGGAGCGAACAGG
rnacentral:rRNA from 1 species